CAAGCUGCUGAGGGUGAUGUAUGAAUGCUUUGGUCCAGGCACUGUCUCUGUUUGGGAUGCAAAACAGAUCUGUGUGUGCAUAUGCUUUCAUCUGCAGCUGACAGUGCAAAACAGAGCACUGCUAAGUGGCAGAAGUGUUUACUUAGUGGUUUCUCUGGCAAAUCUUCGCUUCACCUGAUGGCGUAUCCCCUUGUAAGAACAGACUGGAGAUUUGCUUGGUUGAUUUAUUGAUUAUUGAAAGCAGUGCUUUACUGCUGACUUUCCCAAAAGACUGCAGUGUUUGAUUUCAACUCUCCCUUGAUAUCGAACUUUCUGAAAGUGUGCUCAAUCAAGACACCCUGCAGAUGCUGUUUGAGGAGAGUGACAGCUACUCAGAAUGGGAAUGUUUGGGCCUGCAGAUAGCUUUUAUCACUACAGCAACUCAGAAGCACUGUGCAGUACCCGCAAUGGCUUAACAAGAAUCUGAAGAGGUGUGGGAAGUCCCUUCAUCUUUCUGCAGCACAAAGCACUAAGAUCUACAUUGGAUAUAUCUGCUCUGAACUCUCUGGCAAAGGUAUAUCUUUAUUAAUCAUCAGACUACUGUGGUUAGCUCCAGAAACACACCAGACACAAGAUCCCAGCAUGGAAUUACACUGCUCUUAUUCCUGUACAUCAGAAUUUAAGUGGAAGAGACCAGAAGAACUCACUGUGCUUCAGUGACUGAAGGUACCUGCAAUAAUUCACGUGAUCUCAAGAUACAUCCUAAGAUUCCUGAACUUCCUGGGCCUCUCUUGACUAUCUGGAAACAUUCAAAACCACUGUGAAGCAAAAUGGAUAGGUUUCAAAUAAUGAAAUGAAACUUCAGAUGUUCUGACACGUGACAGUAAUUCAUAAAGUUUCCAGACAAUUCAAAAAGGCACUACAAGAACAAAAUUCCCAUGUUCCACUUACGUACAUCAGCUCCUAGUGAAGAUUUUGUGUUCUUCUUUCACCACAGAGGUCCCAUUGUCAUGACACCCUAUGAAGAAUGGCUUCUCCAUGGACUGUUAUUAUUGUGGAGUCAAAUGCUCGUGAAAUGAUAAGCAUCCAAGGCCCAAAUGUAUCCACCAAAUUCCCACUCCCAGGGGUCAAACCACAGGCUCAGGAGGGCCUAGCAGUGAAAUGCUCUUGGGAUUUGUCUGUCCAUGUACAUGUCCAGGAGAACAAAUUGCAUGACAGGCUGUUGCGUGCCUCAUCUGAAGUACUUCAGUCAGUCAUAGGUAGUAAUGUCUUGCCUCAGAGCACACCAGUGAGACCAGCCUUGAAAGAAAGUAGAGUAAGUGGUGGCUCUGUCUACUUCAAUCCAGUAGUCCAAUGGUUUACAUGGUCUGGCAAGCCUCUGUGUAAAUACAGUAGGAACUAAGGCUUUUCCUCAAAAAGGGAAGAUGCUAUGGCUAAUUCACUGUAGGCAUAUUGCCUUGGGGUAAGACAGGAUCCAUCACACUUGCUGAUUUAGGACCUGUAAGAGUCAGGAGCCAGGAACUGGUGUAUCUCAAGGAUUGCCCUCCUACACUUCCAUGUACACCAUGUAAACUACCUGUGCUGGCUAUCUUAACUGAUUAGACUGAACACAUCACUGCAGCAGCCACAGACUUGUAAGAAAGAAAUAGUGCUGGAAGUUAACUUGAGAUGAGGGCUUACCUUUGGUGGAAAGAAAUCCUACCAUGUGUAUCUGCCUCACCAGUACAUGCCCAUCUCUGGCCGAAACUUAAGGAUUUUGUAUACAGUUUGAUCACAAUCAUCACCGUCAUCAGUUUGGAGCUUGAUGGUCCUUGAGGUCCCUUCCAAUCCAAGCAAUUCUAUGAUUCUGUGAUCAUAACCAGUCUAUGAUCCUUCAAAGUAUCUGGCAUUAAUAGGCCUCAGUGGUCAGGGAAACCACCCUGGCCUGUCCCUUUGAUGUCACAAUAUUAAAAAUAAGGUGGGCACAAUGCACAAAUCGCCAGAUAGCAUUGAGCUAGCAUACCCAGCCUCUUCCAUCCACAUGGGCUGCUGGGACCACAGGUGAUAAACAUGGCGUGCUGGUGGCAGACCACACUCUAUCAGCCCAGAAUCGUCCUGGAGGAGAAUGGUGCUCUGCAGUCGUUGCAGAGCACUUCUGAGAGCUACGCAAAAUACACCAGACACCAAGCUUCCUCUGGCUCCCUAAAACUUCUGCAUCUGAGCUCUCCCAGAAAUCAGCCCACAGUUUUCAAGACUUCUCUUUUGCCUGCAUAGAAAGCAAAGUAUAUAUCUCCAACAUACAUCUGCAUAAUUCGGAGCAAGCUGCGUUCAACCACUGUGCCUAAAGGAGACACCUCUUGUCAGCCAGCCCAAAAAUCUAUUUGAAGGCUGGUUUACUGGCUGACUAUGAGAAGGCUGAAGCAGAAAAAGUUUUUCCUUUUCUUUGUGUUUUCUUUUAAAGAACUUUUUUUCCUAAGCGAUGCUCAAAGAAACACCUACUCCUCCAUGCAAUAUUCUCCGUGGGAGGGGAAAAUAUUCAAUGUACUAUGGAGAAACAUCAAUUAUUUUAAGAAAAAAUAAC
ensembl:lncRNA